rnacentral:rRNA from 1 species
GACGAACGCUGGCGGCAUGCCUAACACAUGCAAGUCGAACGAGAUCUUCGGGUCUAGUGGCGCACGGGUGCGUAACGCGUGGGAAUCUGCCCUUUGGUUCGGAAUAACAGUUGGAAACGACUGCUAAUACCGGAUGAUGACGAAAGUCCAAAGAUUUAUCGCCAGAGGAUGAGCCCGCGUAGGAUUAGCUAGUUGGUGUGGUAAAGGCGCACCAAGGUGACGAUCCUUAGCUGGUCUGAGAGGAUGAUCAGCCACACUGGGACUGAGACACGGCCCAGACUCUUACGGGAGGCAGCAGUGGGGAAUAUUGGACAAUGGGCGAAAGCCUGAUCCAGCAAUGCCGCGUGAGUGAUGAAGGCCUUAGGGUUGUAAAGCUCUUUUACCCGGGAUGAUAAUGACAGUACCGGGAGAAUAAGCUCCGGCUAACUCCGUGCCAGCAGCCGCCGUAA